rnacentral:rRNA from 1 species
CACAGAGGUCUCAAGCGUUGUUCGGAUUCAUUGGGCGUAAAGGGUGCGUAGGCGGCGCGGUAAGUCGGGUGUGAAAUCUCGGAGCUUAACUCCGAAACUGCAUUCGAUACUGCCGUGCUUGAGGACUGGAGAGGAGACUGGAAUUUACGGUGUAGCGGUGAAAUGCGUAGAUAUCGUAAGGAAGACCAGUGGCGAAGGCGGGUCUCCUGGACAGUUCCUGACGCUGAGGCACGAAGGUCAGGGGAGCAAACGGG